GGCUAAUGCCAUAUUGGGCUGCAUUAGUCGGAGCAUUGCCAGCAGAUCAAGGGAAGUGAUUAUUCCCCUCUAUUCGGCACUGGUGAGGCCACAUCUGGAGUAUUGCAUCUAGUUUUGGGCCCCCCACUACAUAAAGGAUGUGGACAAAUUGGAGAGAGUCCAGUGGAGGGCAAUGAAAAUGAUUAGGGGGCUGGGGCACAUAACUUAUGAGGACAGGCUGAGGGAACUGGGCUUAUUUAGUCUGCAGAAGGAAGAGUGAGGGGGGAUUUGAUAGCAGCCUUCAACUACCUGAAGGGGGGUUCCAAAGAGGAUGGAGCUAGGCUGUUCUCAGUGGUGGCAGAUGAUAGAACAAGAAGCAACGGUCUCAAGUUGCAGUGGGAGAAGUCUCCACUAUAAACACUAUAAAUAUUUCAUGUGCAAAGUCCCACCCAAUAUCAGGCUCCAACACCUACCCUAAAUACGAUGUCUUGAUUUCACUGAGUGUUCACUGUUUACAUCAGAUUCAUGCGGUAGGCUUUUUAUUACCUUUGGAAAUCAUAUCUUCCCAGAGAGGCCGACUCAUAAGACAUGCCCUUAAGUUUUUUCAUCACCACUGUGAGACAGCUCUUCAGCUGGAAAUACUUCUUACUCUGAGCAGGAUGAGGUCCUUUUUCUUUGUUAAGACUUUGAUUCAAUUUCGCGAAAUGAUGCCCCCAAAAUGGCAUUUUCUUCUAUCACUCCAUUUAUACCAGCCAAAGGGAGGGCAGAAUGACAGCAUAGUGGGCCCCAGCAAACCAGAAGGUGUAUGUUCCGAAGNCUGUCAGAAAAAAGCUAGUUUCAAAAGCACCUGCUAAUUGGAUUGAUUACAUCCUUUUCCUGCACAGGAAGCAUCAGGAUGACAAUAUUAGGUGGUGGAGACAGCACCCCAUCAGGCUAAUGUGUACCAGUUCUAUUUCGUUCUUUGGCAUCUGCCAAGUUAGUGUCUUAUCCUGGUUAAAGAUGAAUAAUAAAAUUGAGGUACCAGAUUAAUUGCUAGGGCCC
rnacentral:lncRNA from 1 species